rnacentral:rRNA from 1 species
UAGGGAAUAUUGGACAAUGGGGGCAACCCUGAUCCAGCCAUGCCGCGUGAGUGAAGAAGGCCCUCGGGUUGUAAAGCUCUUUUGUCCGGAAAGAAAAGCAUUCGGUGAAUACCCGGAUGUUCUGACGGUACCGGAAGAAUAAGCACCGGCUAACUUCGCGCCAGCAGCCGCGGUAAUACGAAGGGUGCAAGCGUUACUCGGAAUUACUGGGCGUAAAGCGUGCGUAGGUGGUUGUUUAAGUCUGAUGUGAAAGCCCUGGGCUCAACGUGGGAAUGGCAUUGGAAACUGGGCAGCUAGAGUGCGGUAGAGGGUAGUGGAAUUCCCGGUGUAGCAGUGAAAUGCGUAGAGAUCGGGAGGAACAUCUGUGGCGAAGGCGACUGCCUGGACCAGCACUGACACUGAGGCACGAAAGCGUGGGGA